CCUACGGGAGACAGCAGUAGGGAAUCUUUCACAAUGGGCGAAAGCCUGAUGGAGCAACGCCGCGUGCAGGAUGAAGGCCUUCGGGUUGUAAACUGCUUUUAUAAGCGAGGAAUAUGAUGUUAACUUAUGAAUAAGGAUCGGCUAACUACGUACCAGCAGCCGCGGUCAUACGUAGGAUCCGAGAAUUAUCCGGAGUGACUGGGUGCAAAGAGUUGCGUAGGUGGCAUACUCAGUAGCUAGGGAAAUCUGGUGGCUCAACCAUUCAGACGAUUAGCUAAACUGUUAAGCUCGAGAGCGUUAGGGGUAAGUGGAAUUUCAAGUGUAGGAGUGAAAUCCGUAGAUAUUAGAAAGAACACCGAUGGCGAAGGCAGGUUACUGGGACGGUUCUGACACUCAGGCACGAAAGCGUAGGGAGCAAACGGGAUUAGAUACCCGAGUAGUC
rnacentral:rRNA from 1 species